rnacentral:rRNA from 1 species
UCGAACGGCAGCACGGGAGCAAUCCUGGUGGCGAGUGGCGAACGGGUGAGUAAUGUAUCGGAACGUACCAUUCAGUGGGGGAUAACGUAGCGAAAGUUACGCUAAUACCGCAUAUUCUGUGCGCAGGAAAGCAGGGGAUCGCAAGACCUUGCGCUGAUUGAGCGGCCGAUAUCAGAUUAGCUAGUUGGUGAGGUAAAGGCUCACCAAGGCGACGAUCUGUAGCGGGUCUGAGAGGAUGAUCCGCCACACUGGAACUGAGACACGGUCCAGACUCCUACGGGAGGCAGCAGUGGGGAAUUUUGGACAAUGGGGGCAACCCUGAUCCAGCCAUGCCGCGUGAGUGAAGAAGGCCUUCGGGUUGUAAAGCUCUUUCGGCCGGGAAGAAAUCGUAUGGGUUAAUACCCUGUGCGGAUGACGGUACCGGCAUAAGAAGCACCGGCUAACUACGUGCCAGCAGCCGCGGUAAUACGUAGGGUGCGAGCGUUAAUCGGAAUUACUGGGCGUAAAGCGUGCGCAGGCGGUUUUGUAAGACAGGCGUGAAAUCCCCGGGCUCAACCUGGGAA